rnacentral:rRNA from 1 species
GACGAACCGUGCAAACGUUAUUCGGAAUCACUGGGCUUAAAGGGCGCGUAGGCGGUCCGCCAGGUCCGGGGUGAAAGCCUCCAGCUCAACUGGAGAAGUGCCUUGGAUACCGGCGGCCUCGAGGGAGGCAGGGGCGUGCGGAACUUCGGGUGGAGCGGUGAAAUGCGUAGAUAUCCGAAGGAACACCGGUGGCGAAAGCGGCGCGCUGGACCUCUUCUGACGCUGAGGCGCGAAAGCCAGGGGAGCAAACGGG